CUUUUGGUCAGAAGAGGAAGAGCAAGCCCAGCCCAGGGAGAGACGCUGAGAGGAUGAAACUCUGACACGCCGGCAGACCACAGGGAAACAAGAGCACAACUAUAAUUGCUUGGAAAGAAUCACCCAGGAAGGUCAGCCAAGACUCCCGCUGUAGGUGCCAAAGUGAGAUCUCCAGGACUACAAUUACUUCGGCUGCAGAGCAAAGUGAAUGACAGGGACGGCGCUUAAGCUGGACUCCACCCCCUGCAGCAGCUACUGACUUCCAAUCCUAAAAUCUACAAACAGGUAGGAAGUGA